rnacentral:rRNA from 1 species
GACAGAGGGUGCAAACGUUGUUCGGAAUUACUGGGCGUAAAGCGCGCGUAGGCGGCUUUGUAAGUUAGAGGUGAAAGCCCGGGGCUCAACCCCGGAACUGCCUUUAAGACUGCAUCGCUUGAAUCCGGGAGAGGUGAGUGGAACUGCGAGUGUAGAGGUGAAAUUCGUAGAUAUUCGCAAGAACACCAGUGGCGAAGGCGGCUCACUGGCCCGGUACUGACGCUGAGGCACGAAAGCGUGGGGAGCAAACAGG